CUCUCUAAGGCUCACUCUCGGGCUCUCUCUCUAAGGCUCUCUCUCUCUCAGUCUCCUCUCUCUCAGGCUCUCUCUCUAGCGGCCUCUCUCUCUCUGUCUCUCUCUCCGGCGACCUCUCUCUCUCUCAAGUAAGAGUCUCUUGGAUCUAAAUGUUGUGGGUUUUGUGUUUUGUUUUCUAGAUUACAUAAUUGAAUUGUGACCUCUCUCUCAGGCUGUCUCUCUCACUCCGGCGACCUCUCUCCGGCGACGUCUCUCUCAGGCACUCUCUCUCCGGUGAACUCUCUCUCUCUCAAGUAAGAGUCUUGGUUCUAAAUGUUGUGGGUUUUAUGUUUUUUUUUCUACAUUACAUAUUGAAUUGCAACCUCUCUCUCAGGCUGUCUCUCUCACUCCGGCGACCUCUCUCUCAGGCACUCUCUCUCCGGUGAACUCUCUCUCUCUCUCCGCCAACCUCUCUAUCCGGCUCUCUCUUUCUCUCUCUCUGGCGACCUCUCUCUCUCAGGUAAGAGUUUCUAGGAUCUCUGUAAUCUAUAUCCUAUAAGUUAUGUUGUGGGUUUUGUUUGCAUCUGUAGAUUGUUCUUCUUUGGUUGCAUCUGUAAAUGUCAUGUUGUUAGCUUUGUUCAUGUCAUAUUCUUUCAAUGUGUAUUCUGGUAAAUGGGUUUAUGUUUAUAGUCUGAGUAGUCUUUGUGUUUGUUCUCAAUUGCUUACUCUUGUUUACAGUUUACUUUGAAGAUAGCUGCAGAAACUUUGAAGAGAAACAAUGACAUCCAUCCCUGGAACUGAUGUGAGUAUCUUCCCCUCUAAUCUCUUAUUUGAUCUCGGUUUUGUCAAAUGAUUUUCUUGUUGUCUUGAAUCUUCAAAUAAGAAUUUUACAUGGAGUGACGAACAAACACGCUUCUUUCUUCAACUAAGACUUGAUGAGAAUCUGAAAGGAAACAUAAGAAAACAGAUGGUUAAUGAGGCUGGGAGACAGACGAUAAUAGAUAAGUUCUAUGAGGCAUUUGGUGUAAAAAUUUGGGAUAAAGUACAAUACUUGCAAGAAGCAGUAUGAGUCUUUUAAGAAGUUGACUCGGAACAGAACGGGGCUUGGUUUUGAUUCAACCUGAUUCAUCAACAUGAGUGAGGACUGGUGGAAUGAGCGAUGCAAGGUACAAGUUCUAUGAUCCUCUUAAUAUUACUGGUUCAGUUUUGAUUGUAUUGUUGGAUUGCUGUUAACAGAAGUGCACGCCAGCCUUUUAUUCUAAGUUCUGAUUUUUCUAUUGAAAGUCUCAAACCCUAUAGUAACUUGCCUGGUAAAACUAGAUAUCAAAUGUUAGAACUCUUUAGAUUUAUAGGAGAGAUCGAUUUUCUAUUCUAGAGCAAGACUAGAACACAUGGAAUAUUAUAUCUAUGUUACUGUUAUUUUAAAAUUCAAAUAACUUGUAUUGUUGUAUCUUGUAUCUCUAUGAAAAUACAGUGUUCUCACUUUGAAUUUUUGUUCUUGUUUCAGGAGUGGCCAGGUGCUAGAAAAUUUAAAGACAACCGGUAGGUAGCAAUAUGGAUUUGAUGGAGAAGGUAUUUGGGACAGUUUAUAUUAGUGGAGGUGAAGGUUGGUCUGCUCAGCAAGGUGAAGAUGUUUUAGACACAAAGCACUCAGAUCAUGAUGAUGAGAUUGAUGGUGAAGAUGAUGCUGAGUCAAGGCGUGAUAUUCCUACUGAAGAAGCUGUUGGAGCUGAAUCAAGAAAUUUUGGAUCAAAGAAUGUUGGCCCCUCUUCUUCUAGGUCAAAGGUUAAUAAGAAAAGAUCAAGGGCUGUACAAGCAGGACAAGCUGUUGCUGAUGUGAUUAGGGAGAGUGUUGAGUCUAGAGACAAGAUUCUUUCCCACAAGAAUCAUCUGAUAGAGAACCAUCCUGAGUUUAGUUGCAGUCAACUGCGAGCUAUGGAGGUUCUUCACUCUCUGCCUGCUAUAAGGAUGUGGUCUCCUCUAUACAAGGCCUCCAUUAACCACCUCAAACAAGAUGCUGCAAAUCGUCAGACCUUCUUGUUCUAUGGAGAUGACGAGAACAGGGUUCUCUACUUGGAAUAUGCAACCGGAGAAAGCAGAGAUGCAUGAGGAGGAGCUGUUUAUGUUUAUGUCUUUGUUUUAGUAUAGUAUGAACUCUAGAAUGAAUCUUGUUGUAAUGACUAUGUUUAUGACAAUAUUUAUGAGUUUCUUUUUGCUGAAAUGUGUGUUUAUAUUUAUUUUGAAGUGACAGAAACUCUAGUGGAUAAGCAGUUCCUUCAAGCAGCUCUUACACUUCUAGCUUAAAGUCUCCAAGAUACAAUGAUGAAUAGUAAGGACACGUUUAGUUUCUUAGUUGAAGAUGACGACAUGGAUUUGAUACUAGAGGAGAGUGUAGCAAUGUUUACUUAGAGGAGAGUGUAGCAAUGUUUUUAGAGAUGGCUGGACAAGAUUUAUCUGUACGGGCUUUAGCUGAGAGAUACCAACAUUCAUCUGACACAGUGAAUAGGAAGAUAGAUGAGGUUUUAAGUUUUUUGUUGAAACUUGCAGCAGACAUUGUGAAACCUGAAAGGGAUGAGUUUGCAAGUGCUAGUCCUAUUCUAGUAGAUGAUCCGCGAUAUUACCCUUUUUUUAAGGAUUGCAUAGGUGCUUUUGAUGGAACUCAUGUGCUGGUUCGUCCUCCUUCUGGGAAUGCCGAUCCAUUCAGAGGUAGAAAAGGAGAACCAACUAUGAAUGUCUUAGCUAUAUGUAAUUUCAGCAUGAAAUUCAUAUAUGCUUAUGUUAGGGUUCCUGGGAGAGCACAUGAUACAAAAGUGUUGACAUAUUGUGCUAAGGAAGAAGCUUCGUUUCCUCAUCCUCCAGUUGGAAAGUAUUAUCUAGUAGAAUCUGGAUACCCAACUAGAACUGGUUAUUUAGGACCUCACCGUAGAACUAGAUAUCACCUGGAUCAGUUUGUUAGAGGAGGACCACCGACAAACAGCAGAGAGUUAUUCAACCGAAAACAUUCUGGCUUGCGUUCGGUAAUUGAGAGAACAUUUGGAAUAUGGAAGGCUAAGUGGAGGAUUCUUGACAGGAAGCACCCUAAGUAUGAGCUGAAUAAAUGGGUGAAGAUUGUGACAGCAACAAUGGCUCUCAACAAUUUUAUAAGAGAUUCAAACCAUGAGGAUUGUAAUUUUGCACAUUGGGAAAGAGUGGAAGAAUAUGAAAAUCAUGGGGAUGAAGAUGAUCAUGUUGCAUACGUACCAGCUGGAGAUAGAGUCAUGGAAGCUAUGCGAGAUUCCAUUACUGAAGAGAUGGCAAGAGGACGUCGACUUCCAUACUAGAUGUAAGUCUUUUGAAGCUCUCUCUGUGUGAAACAAGUACUCUUAUGCAUCUUGUUCUUUGGGCUUUGUAAUGUGAAUUGAUUAUCCCUUUGUGGCAAAUGCUUAUUCUCGUUUGUUUACUUUUUCUUUGUGAUUAGAAGCAAGCUGUGAAGAAGGCUUUGUUUCAGUUGUUUGCUGAGAAAGUUAGAGACCACAAGGGGUUGGAAUCAAGAUGGGCUGUUAUGGAGCUCACGUGUGGGUUUGCAGUUUUGUUUCCCUAUUCUUUUUGUUCACAUCUAGUAUUGGUUUGUAGUUUUGUUUCCUUUGGACCAAUUGAUAAUGCAAACUCAUUAUCCUUUUAUGUUUAAGUUUGUAUUUACCAUGAUCUAUUUAAAGUUUUUGAGACUAUCUUAUAUUUAUUUAUUUUUGGAAUUGGUUUUGAGUUAUCAAUAUAUCAAAAUUAUUGUUGGAUUUUAGUGUAUGUUAAAAUUUAUCAUAUAUCAAACAAUUGUUACACUUUUAUUUAAAUAUUUUAAUCAAAUUUGCAAAAUUAUAGUCAUUAUUUAUAAUUUCAUUGUCUUAUUUUCAUAAAAAUAAAUCUAUGAAUUUUAAAACAAGAAUUUUAAAUUAUUUUGUUGUAAUUGUAAUUUAGAUAAGAUAUUAAAAUUAACAAGAUUAAUAUAAAUAAUAAUCAUGAUUUAAGAGUAAUCUAUAUAUAAAUUAAAUACAUGUCCAUUUUAGUCAUUUUGUCAUCAACUGCAUUUGGAUGCAAAUGUAAGUUCAAAAAAAAAGAACAAACGAAUGCAGCUGCAUCUGACUGAUCCAUCUGGAUGCACUUUCCAAAUGUACAAACGAACAACAUCUGACUGAUCCAUCUGGAUAAGCCAUCUGACUGAUCCAUCUGGAUGCACCUUCCAGAUGUACAAACGAACAGGGCCUCAAAUUGUAUUUGAUCAUUAUCCCCUUCUUGACUCGAUAAAAACUUUUUUUUUAACAUUUGAUAAGACUCACAAUAAAUUAGAUACCAGUAAACCUUCCCCAGACUUAAAUUACAUUGUCCCAUGUGUAUAUCUAGUCGGAGUUAUGGUGAUAAAUAAAUCAUAAGUACUCAAUUUAACAAGUUAGAACGAUAUACCUGACCAGAUUAAGUGUCGAUCAAUGUAAAGGAGUUACCAUCGGUCGCUGCAAGUAAUGUACUGUUGAUCGAUAUCGACAUGCUCUCAUCGGUCGGUAUGCUGGGCAAUCUUCUACUCAGAUCUUUUUUUUAAAUAGCUAACUAAAACACAAUAUUAGUAGAACCUCCCCCAGACUUAAACAACACUGUCUCCAAUGUUAUGCAAUCUAAGAUUGGUGGGGAAAUAAACCAUAAGUACUAAAUUUAACAAGGAAGAACAAUAUAUAUGACUUGGGUGUGAGUGUCGACCAACACAGUUAAGUGGCGAUCGAUACUCUUGAUGCUCUGUCGAUCGAUGCUGCGCAGUCAUCGUCGAUUCUUGGGAAAACUCGUAUGCCUCGAAUCCUCUUUUUCACCUAAUAGUGGGUUGCCUCGCACUCAGCGCUUUGUUAUAGUCAUUGAGCUUGACUUCUGGAGAUCUGAUUCAGUUCAGAUGAGAAUGAGAACUCGCUCCAAAACAAGUCUCAGUGUCUACUCUCAGAAGCUUUAUCAUUCUUUUGUGAAACCCUACUCCAUAGACUCUUCUCCUUUGUUUAUCAUCUCAACAAUAAAUAAUACUCGGAGGUUUGCAAAUGACUGUGAGAAGCAUCUGCUGCGCACUUUGGUUUUCCUAAUACCAGAGAAAGAAGGAAUCAAUGAUAACUGAGGACUGCCCUUAGUCCUUUUUCUCUUAUCCCAAUUCUUCCUCAUCUUUCCCCCAGACUUGUCUUAUCGCGUGGUGGUGCCUCCAUCGAAAAGAUUUUGAUGCACUUUAAAUUCAAUCUGCUCUGAUACGCGAUGGCUCUCGAUCAAUGAUGAAGAAGUAGUGUCGAUCGAUUCCGGUUUGUUGAUGUCAUUCGAUACUGCUUCUGUGGGGCCUUUGUCGAAGUCACCUCUAAAUCUCAACCCUUUCUGAGAAGCUACAGCAUACAUAUGAUCAUCAAAUACUCCAAUGUAGGAACCAUGAUGCACACUUUUAUCUGGUGGGAUAGGAAAGUCAGCUUCAAAUACAGUGCAGGGAACCACAAACUUCAUAGGGUCAUGUAUCCUCUUUACUAUUUUGUGAAACCCAUCAGUUUCUUAUGCGCGAUAGGUGGUUUCAGAUGUUUUGUCAUAGCAAUGUGUGACGCCUCAGACUUGUACUCUCUUUCCUCAACUGGUUCCAGCUCAACUAUGCAUCUUCGCAGCUCGUUCAACAAUUGGUGUCGAUCGACGAUCUCGGGUGGGUGUCCCCCGAUGCUAUCUUGUGGGUGGUGAUCGAUGAUGCAGGGUGAGUGUUGAUCGAUCUCAUCAGGUUGGUGUCGAUCGAUGCUAACCUUUGGUGAAGUUUCAAAAUCCUUUCCUGAAGUUGUGCUGAUCGUCAUCAAGCUUCUUCUCCAAGUUCUGAUUUAUAUUCUUAGGUUGUGCUUCAUCCUCUAGCUCUAAGAAAUUUCCCAUAGUGGUAUCUUUGUCCACAUCUGGGACAAGAUCACAACUUGAUACAUCAGUGUUCUUCUGUGUCGAGUCUGCAGUGUCCCGAAAACAACUCGAUCUGUCAUGGAUUUCAAGAGGUGUCGAUCGACAACAGGAUAUUGUGUCGAUUGAUGUUGAGGUGUUGGUGUUGAUCAAUGGUGAGGUCAUGAUGUUAAUCGAUGCUGAGGUCGAAUGACUAAUAUCAGUUUAUUCUGCCGUGCUUGGCUCUCCAGAUCCAUGUUUUUCAAUAUCUUCUACCACAUAUUCCAGCAUAGAACUCAUCUCAUUCUCUAAAUUUGCUGCUGCUUCAUAGAUAAAUUUGUUGAAGAAAGCGCUUGUAAUGUCCUCCCAGCAGGUUAGAGAGUCUGUGAUAUACAGAUAUUUCGUCCUGCUCACUCCUUUGAAACUAGAUCCUCAAGCUCUUCGAUGUGGUUUCUGGUAUCUUCACGAAGAAGACCCUGGAAGGGGUCUUGACCUACCCAAUCAUACCAUUCUCGGCUCAGAUCAAAAUCAUUCAUCUCAGCAACAACAAUCACAUCAGGGAUCACAGCACCCUGAGCAUUAAUCAACUGUCCUGCGCUGUUGCUAGUGCGACCUUCGUCUCUUAACAUCUCAUUCUCAUCGACCUUAAGUAUGAGCACUUCGACCUUUUUUGUCUCCAUGCAAGUGGUGUCCUUUUUCCGGAUGAAUAGUGUCAGGAUGAACAAUUUUUGAAUGAACAGUAUCGAUCGAUGAUGGAUGAACAGUAUCGAUCGACAGCGGAUGAACAGUAUUGAUCGACGGUGGAUGGACAAUAUCGAUCAACGGUGGAUGAAUAGUAUCAAUCGACGGUGGAUGAACAAUGUCGAUUGAAGCGGGAUGAACAGUACCGAGAUGAACAGUACAUAAUGAAUAGUAUCAUGAUGAACAAUACCAGGAUGAACAGUACCGUUCGACAAUCGGAUUUCUAUGUUGUUGAUCGCUGCUUGGAGGGUGUCGACUGUCCUCUUAGACUUAUGGAUCAAGCUGUCUUAAUCCAGUAGCUUUGUAGUAAGAGCCCUAUCCCCUCGUUUCUUCUGGCACUCAUAUGUAUGUACCUUAAACAAGAAAAAUAUAUAUGUAAAUAAACUAUAAAUAAAAACCUAGACAAAAUCCUACACCUAGUCUAAUGGUGAUCAGUCCCUGGCAACAGUGCCGAAUUUGAUAUGCUCAAAUUUACCUUCAAGCUACUCUCUCAAAUUAGAGAUUUGAUGUAGUACUUGAGAAUCAAAUUCACAGAGAUUCAAUAUCUCACACAAUAGACUUUAGCUUUAGACUAUACUAGGUAAAACAA